GUUACUUUAAAAAAAAUAACAGUGACAGAUGUGCAGACUCAGGAAUACAUGGAAAUUUAAAAUACUAACGAUCAUGACACUUCUCUAUGCUUCUGUUUGCCCAGUCUCGUUUGUACCGCUGAAAGAAACGGAUACAGAAACCAUCCCAGAUGACAACAACUACAAUCCAGCUGCAGACUACAUUGACACCAUCAAAUGGUCUGUCACCCUACUGUUUGAUCAACGAGGAAUGAUACCCAGGGGAACAGCCGUGUAUCCUCAUCCCUUUAUGGAUCCGGCAGAGGGCUUUGCAUCAAGACAGACCUGACCUCCAGUCAGUAUGUUCCCUUCUUUUCUUACCAAUAUCUGCCAAUCCGAACAAAAAGAAAACCGGCAGCCUGAAUGUGCUUGACUCAUGAGCUGAAUCUUACACACACCCAGCUCCUGAGAACACCGGGAUCAUAAAGGUAAAAACCACAACCCCAGCAAUAGCUGGAUAAUGAGCCUGCAGUCACGACAGGGUCAAGCAGGGUCAAUGGUUGGUGCUAAUUCUGGAUAAUGCUAUUGGUAUUCGAAGUAGAGCUGGAAGCUUUGUGGAAACUGACAUGGGGAACCACAUUUUAGUCAGUUAGUGGAGCUCCACAGGCAAGGUACAAAAAAACGACCCUCAGAGCAUCACUUCAAUGAGAUGUGUCACCUCGAUGUCAUGAGGGCAGCAGACUGUGCGGUGGUGUUCUUGUAUCCCGACAACAGGCAAGAAGCCCGUCCAGUGUUCUGUUUUAGGACCUGUCCUGCAACUGAGUGACACACAAUGCAUGAGUAGCCUGUUAGGUCACUCUAGCCUCUGCUUUACCUCUGUUUUACUGUGACAGCCACUAGCUCUUUCCCUUGACACAUCUGCUAGAUCAUGAUUUGCGCUACUGUUAUUGACAUGGUCAUAAUAAACAAAAAGGUUGUUACACUCUUGCUGAAGUGAUCUUGCAAAGGUGGGUGAAUCUGUGCUAAUUGAGGCUAAAGGUGAAAAGAAGAGGCAGAAAACGCACAGUGUACUCACAGCGAACAUGGCAGCAAAGUUAGCAUACAUGAAUCAUUCAGGACACAAGAAGAGCACUUUAUAAUCAUCAGAAAAAGCUGAAGCACUUCGGUCACAAUGUUGCCACUAUGAUUGCAACAAAAAAAAUCCUGUCUGCUCCCAGCAGUCAAAGGGAAAAAAAUGACAGCCUCAUGAAAUUAUUCAUUCGUGGGGUUUGUCUGUCUUUUUUUGGGAGACCAAAAACAGUGCAGUGCUGCCAGUGAGAAAUAGCUGUAAGUCGAUGUGAAAUGUCCUUAUAGCCUUGGACUUCUUCAGUUUAUGUGACAACUCAAAACUAAGCCGAGACAAACCGUUCUGCAUAAAGGUUUGUGGAGGUAAAUUUACAUCAGAGUGGCAUCUUACCCUUUUCUUACACAUUACUUUAUUGCGAUUAUAUUCUGAUUGUUGUUCAUAUUUAAACACAGACGGUCAUAUAACUCCACAUACAAGAGGGAUAAUAUAUAGGGCUGGGCAGGUAUAUAAAUCUAAUCAUAUAACAUGGAGUGAAAAUAUCAUGACCCCAAAAUUUCAGAACAGAAAACAUGCAGAAUAACACAAUUUUGCUUGAAACAGAUUAACAACAUUUAGUUAGAUGUACUUUUUCAGAAUUAACAUAUUGAUUCUUGCAGUCAUACCAUCCUUAAUGACAUUUAAUAUUUUAAAAGAAGCAAAAAUAUUUGAGUGAGCACUGCUAAAUUUAGUUCUCCAUUGUUUUGUUUUGUUUUUUUGUUUGUUUGUUUGGGUUUUUUUUGUGCUGAAUAUUGUGUCUUUUGGCUGCUCUGCUCCUUACGGAGUAGCAGUUAGACUUGCCAGGCUGCAGUUAGCUCCAAAACAGAAAUGCCAACUACAGUUUUACAACAGCAAUACCUCAACAUGUGUGAUGGAUGGUGCUUAUUUCGUUUCUAUGCCAUGAGUGUCUGUCUCUUUUGAACACUGAAUAGCUUUUUUUUUAUUCUGUUUUAUAAAAGGUAAAAAAAAAAUGAAACAUUGGUAGUGCAAAGUGGCAACAGGUGAGUGAGGGGUAGCUUUGUGUUACUUCAUGCCCCUUUAACUUGUAUGUUCUUAGGGUCUUUUUCUGGUGCUCUGUAAAUUGUCACAAACAAGUUAAAAACCUUAAUUUGCAUUAUUAAGAGACAUUUAAGUUUCAGACUUUUUAAUGUGCAUGUUCCUACAAUUGUGAUUUCUCAAGUGGUGACAUAAUUUGUUGGGUUAAUAAAACAAUUCCAGUAUUUAUUGCAA